rnacentral:rRNA from 1 species
CAGCAGCCGCGGUAAUACAGAGGGUGCAAGCGUUAAUCGGAAUUACUGGGCGUAAAGCGCGCGUAGGUGGUUUGUUAAGUUGGAUGUGAAAUCCCCGGGCUCAACCUGGUAACUGCAUCCAAAACUGGCAAGCUAGAGUAUGGUAGAGGGUGGUGGAAUUUCCUGUGUAGCGGUGAAAUGCGUAGAUAUAGGAAGGAACACCAGUGGCGAAGGCGACCACCUGGACUGAUACUGACACUGAGGUGCGAAAGCGUGGGAGCAAACAGGAUUAGAUACCCGCGUAGUCCCUGUCUCUUAUACC